AAUGAACGCUGGCGGCGCGCCUAAUACAUGCAAGUCGAGCGAGAAGACGUAGCAAUACGUUUGUAAAGCGGCGAACGGGUGAGGAAUACAUGGGUAACCUACCCUCGAGUGGGGAACGAACUAGCCGAAAGGUUAGCUAAUACCGCGUACGCUCCUUGGACUUCGGUUUCAGGGAGGAAAGCGAUACCGUGGGUAUCGCGCUCUUGGUUGGGCUCAUGUCCUAUCAGCUUGUUGGUGAGGUAACGGCUCACCAAGGCUUCGACGGGUAGCUGGUCUGAGAGGACGAUCAGCCACACUGGCACUGCGACACGGGCCAGACUCCUACGGGAGGCAGCAGUAAGGAAUAUUGCGCAAUGGGCGAAAGCCUGACGCAGCGACGCC
rnacentral:rRNA from 1 species